AUACGGAGGGUGCAAGCGUUAAUCGGAAUUACUGGGCGUAAAGCGCUCGUAGGCGGUUUGUUAAGUCGGAUGUGAAAGCCCCGGGCUCAACCUGGGAACUGCAUUCGAUACUGGCAAACUAGAGUAUAGAAGAGGCAAGUGGAAUUCCGGGUGUAGCGGUGAAAUGCGUAGAUAUCCGGAGGAACAUCAGUGGCGAAGGCGACUUGCUGGUCUAAUACUGACGCUGAGGAGCGAAAGCGUGGGGAGCAAACGGGAUUAGAAACCCGAGUAGUCC
rnacentral:rRNA from 1 species